rnacentral:tRNA from 1 species
GGCGCUGUAGUUCAGUGGUAGAACGCGAGUCUCAUGAGCUCGAUAUCGGGGGUUCAAUUCCCUCCAGCGCCA